UACGGGGGGGGCAAGCGUUGUUCGGAAUUACUGGGCGUAAAGGGCUCGUAGGUGGCCAACUAAGUCAGACGUGAAAUCCCUCAGCUUAACUGGGGAACUGCGUCUGAUACUGGAUGGCUUGAGAUUGGGAGAGGGAUGCGGAAUUCCAGGUGUAGCGGUGAAAUGCGUAGAUAUCUGGAGGAACACCGGUGGCGAAGGCGGCGUUCUGGACUGCAACUGACACUGUAAAACGAAAGCCAGGGGAGCAAACGGG
rnacentral:rRNA from 1 species